UUCAUAGGCAGAACAUGACACAGGAGAGCUGUGAGUGAAUCUGCACAUGAUGUGUAGCUUGUUCUAAACAUCAUCCUAAGUCCUUUUGGACUUGGCAUAAGGUUUGAACAACUUGCUGUGAUGCAAACCUUACAAAACAUCAAUAUGACUCUUACUAUUAUGUUUUAUCCUCCAGGCAUUCACAACGAAAGGCUGUAGAGUGGAGACUGCAGCCUCCCUGUGCACACAUUCAAAUACACAUCUGUGAUACAUCUCAGAAUCUCGGACGGCACAGAAUCCUCCUUGUUGUCUACAGAGGAAAACAUAGUGUGACCUUCAUGCUUUUCCACACAAGGCAAACCGAAGGUUGUGUGGGGGAGGUGUUUCAUAUUAGGAAACUACCCUUUGGAACAGC
rnacentral:lncRNA from 1 species